GACGAACCGUGCGAACGUUGUUCGGAAUCACUGGGCUUAAAGGGCACGUAGGCGGGCGGUCAAGUCAGAGGUGAAAUCCCACGGCUCAACCGUGGAAGUGCCCCUGAUACUGAUCGCCUCGAGGGAGGUAGGGGCGUGCGGAACUUCCGGUGGAGCGGUGAAAUGCGUAGAUAUCGGAAGGAACACCGAUGGCGAAAGCAGCGCGCUGGACCUUUACUGACGCUGAGGCGCGAAAGCCAGGGGAGCAAACGGG
rnacentral:rRNA from 1 species